UAACCUGCCCAAGAGAUCGGGAUAACACCUGGAAACAGAUGCUAAUACCGGAUAACAACAGAUGAUGCCUAUCAACUGUUUAAAAGAUGGUUCUGCUAUCACUNUUGGAUGGACCUGCGGUGCAUUAGCUAGUUGGUAGGGUAACGGCCUACCAAGGCGAUGAUGCAUAGCCGAGUUGAGAGACUGAUCGGCCACAUUGGGACUGAGACACGGCCCAAACUCCUACGGGAGGCAGCAGAG
rnacentral:rRNA from 1 species